AAUGGGCGCAAGCCUGAACCAGCCAUCCCGCGUGCAGGAAGAAGGCGCUAUGCGUUGUAAACUGCUUUUCCAGGGGGCGAACCUCCCGCACGAGUGCGGGACUGACGGUACCUUGGGAAUAAGCAUCGGCUAACUCCGUGCCAGCAGCCGCGGUAAUACGGAGGAUGCGAGCGUUAUCCGGAUUUAUUGGGUUUAAAGGGUGCGUAGGCGGAUUAAUAAGUCAGUGGUGAAAACCUGCAGCUUAACUGUGGAACUGCCGUUGAUACUGUUAGUCUUGAGUAUGGUCAAGGUAGGCGGAAUGUGUAAUGUAGCGGUGAAAUGCUUAGAUAUUACACAGAACACCGAUUGCGAAGGCAGCUUACUGGGCCGUUACUGACGCUGAUGCACGAAAGCGUGGGGAUCGAA
rnacentral:rRNA from 1 species